GGGGAAUGACAAAAAAAUUGUUCUUUUCUCAUAUGAAACACUUGAAUUCAACCAUGCCAAAAGUCAUUUCAUAAUGAAUCUCAAAAAUUUUGUUUUUCAACACUUGCACCAACAAAAUUUCUUCAAUUUCAACCAACAUUUAGCAUAUAAAAAGCUCAUAAAUGCAAAUUGGAUGGCUCUAAUACCAAUUGAAAGCGCGAUUUGAGCAACGUAAGUUUAAAAUUGUAUUUUUGCCUAGGUUACAUGCAUUUCAUGCCAAACUAAUUUUUACUAAUUUGUUCAAAGCAGCAAGGUUCAACAUUUGUAACCACAACUAAUAUCUUGGCUAUUUUGCAAUUUAGAAAACUUAAAGGAACAUGCACUUAAAUUAAGUUUUAGGAUUUUACUCGAUGGGGCACUGAAUCACUAUUCAAUCACCUAAUCUGAGUAGCUAGGCCUCCAAAUGUAUCCCUCUAGUCUGUUCACGCAAACUCAACAAUCAAGACGAUCCAACCCUUGAACCGCAAUCCCCUUAAAGUUCUCUCUCUUUCGUCAAUCGAUUUGCACAAAAGGGUUUUACUAGGGCAAUUGAAGAAACAAUUCUUUCAAUUUCUAAUUCAAGAGUUACAUCUUCUAAUGUCUCUUGAAUUGAGUUAACAAGAAGAGCUUGAAGGUGUUAAUAAUGGAGUCUAGUUGAGAGAAGGGAAGAAGAUGAAUAUGAAACACUAAAGUAUCUCUAAACUUGCAUUGGGUUUCUUUUCAUAUUUUAUGGAUUCCCAUAUCCCUAAAGUGGUUGGAAAUCUCCAAGUUUUAGAGAUUUCAAAUCCAUAACUAAGUGAGUAGAGGAGGAAUCUUCUCCUUUUUGGAGACACUUUACCACCUGUCACACACAUCAUAUUUUGUCUCCCACUGACAUGACUCAUGACAUCAUGUGUCAAAAGACUUUAAAACCCACUCAAGUAUCUUCUUUUUCACUAUGACAUGCCUCUUGCUACAUUUUCCUUGAUGUAACAUGCUCCAUGCAACAUUUGCC
rnacentral:misc_RNA from 1 species